rnacentral:ncRNA from 1 species
AUAAAGGCAAAGAAGAGGAUUCAGUAGCGCGUUAUGGUGAGUAGUGUCAGAGAACCAGUGGCAGGUGAGAACUGGUACAGCCUAAUCGUGAAUUACCCCUCUGAGCCUUCCUGGCGAACAACAUGAUGAAGUAGUCAGGAACGGGAAAACCGUUAACGUAUUUGAGCUGGGAGACGAUUUGUCUUCAAUCAGGGUGGUAACGCGUGUUAAACCACGUCCCUACU